CCUACGGGGGGCAGCAGUGGGGAAUAUUGGACAAUGGGGGGAACCCUGAUCCAGCCAUGCCGCGUGUGUGAAGAAGGCCCUCGGGUUGUAAAGCACUUUCAGUGAGGAAGAACGCCUGGUGGUUAAUACCCAUCAGGAAAGACAUCACUCACAGAAGAAGCACCGGCUAACUCCGUGCCAGCAGCCGCGGUAAUACGGAGGGUGCGAGCGUUAAUCGGAAUUACUGGGCGUAAAGCGCGCGUAGGUGGCUUGAUAAGCCGGUUGUGAAAGCCCCGGGCUCAACCUGGGAACGGCAUCCGGAACUGUCAAGCUAGAGUGCAGGAGAGGAAGGUAGAAUUCCCGGUGUAGCGGUGAAAUGCGUAGAGAUCGGGAGGAAUACCAGUGGCGAAGGCGGCCUUCUGGACUGACACUGACACUGAGGUGCGAAAGCGUGGGUAGCAAACAGGAUUAGAUACCCUUGUAAUC
rnacentral:rRNA from 1 species